ACCUGGUUGAUCCUGCCAGUAGU
rnacentral:ncRNA from 7 species